rnacentral:tRNA from 1 species
GAGCUCAGCGGAAGAGCAUCUGCUUUGCCUGUAGAAAGUGCCAGGUUCAGUCCCCGGCAUCUCCA